rnacentral:rRNA from 1 species
GAAAACUUUACAAUGGGCGAAAGCACGAUAAGGGAACUCUGAGUGCCCCCUAAGGGGGCUGUUCUAGUGUCUAAAAAGCAAUAGAAGUAAGGGCUGGGCAAGACCGGUUUCAGCCGCCGCGGUAACACCGGCAGCCCAAGUGGUAGCCACGUUUAUUGGGUCUAAAGCGUUCGUAGCCGGCUUUGUAAGUUCCUUGGUAAAUUUAGCCGCUUAACGGUUAAGCUUUCAGGGAAUACUGCUUGGCUUGGGACUGGGAGAGGUCAGAGGUACUCCAGGGGUAGGGGUGAAAUCCAUUAAUCCUUGGGGGACCACCGGUAGCGAAGGCGUCUGACCAGACCAGCUCCGACGGUGAGGGACGAAGGCUAGGGGCGCGAACCGGAUUAGAUACCCGGGUAGUCCUAGCUGUAAACGAUGCGGGCUAGGUGUUGGCAUUACUGCGAGUGGUGCCAGUGCCAAAGGGAAGCCGUUAAGCUCGCCAUCUGGGGAGAACGGUCGCAAGGCUUUAAACUUAAAGGAAUUGGGCGGGGGGAGCACCACA